GACGAACGCUGGCGGCGCGCCUAACACAUGCAAGUCGAACGGAGUUAAUCUGGUUGAAGUUUUCGGAUGGAUACCGGAUUAACUUAGUGGCGAACGGGUGAGUAACGCGUGAGUAACCUGCCCUGGAGUGGGGGACAACAGUUGGAAACGACUGCUAAUACCGCAUAAGCCCACGGUGCCGCAUGGCACUGAGGGAAAAGGAUUUAUUCGCUUCAGGAUGGACUCGCGUCCAAUUAGCUAGUUGGUGAGGUAACGGCCCACCAAGGCGACGAUUGGUAGCCGGACUGAGAGGUUGAACGGCCACAUUGGGACUGAGACACGGCCCAGACUCCUACGGGAGGCAGCAGUGGGGGAUAUUGCACAAUGGGGGAAACCCUGAUGCAGCGACGCCGCGUGGAGGAAGAAGGUUUUCGGAUUGUAAACUCCUGUCGUACGGGACGAUAAUGACGGUACCGUACAAGAAAGCCACGGCUAACUACGUGCCAGCAGCCGCGGUAAAACGUAGGUGGCAAGCGUUGUCCGGAAUUACUGGGUGUAAAGGGAGCGCAGGCGGACCGGCAAGUUGGAAGUGAAAUCUAUGGGCUCAACCCAUAAAUUGCUUUCAAAACUGCUGGCCUUGAGUAGUGCAGAGGUAGGCGGAAUUCCCGGUGUAGCGGUGGAAUGCGUAGAUAUCGGGAGGGAACACCAGUGGCGAAGGCGGCCUACUGGGCACCAACUGACGCUGAGGCUCGAAAGCAUGGGUAGCAAACAGGAUUAGAUACCCUGGUAGUCC
rnacentral:rRNA from 1 species